UCUAAAAAUAUAAAAUGUAAAAUUUUUUUGUGUAUAAUAAAGUGAAAGUGCUUUCUGGAUAUUAAGUUAUAAGUCAACUCACAAUGGUGUAAUUAAGUAAAAGGAUUUAAGUUUCAAGAUGCAUUAAUUGUAUUUUUUUGGAUUUCAUCAACUUUUACACCUUUGAGAUUAUUUUUAUGAUCGUAACUGUGUUGGAUAAUAUAAGGGGAUCCGAGCUAGGUGGAUUUCCCAACGUAAACAUCGACUGGAUCCGAGCUAGGUGGAUCCAGGUGCUUCGAUGGACCCCAACUGCAAGUCAACGAACAAUGGACCGAUUUGUUGUAGUGUUGCAGUUCUUUUAUUUUUUUCAUGUUUUGUCUUUUGGGUAUUCAAUUGUAUAAAAAUAUGGUAUUCUUUUUAAACUUUUGAAAAAGUCAACUUUUAAUACAACCAAAAUAAUAUUGGCUAAGAUGAGGAAGAAGGAAUUUGCCUUAGAAAAUUGCCCUUUUCAAUUUGAGACAUUCCGGGAAACCGUGCAAGAAGAUGCAAUUAACGAAAAAAUAAAUUUUUAAGAAUACCUUAAAAAAAGAGGAGAAAGGUGAAUUCACACUACACGAGGAUAUUUCUGAAAUAAAUAGUUAUAAUUAAUUUUUUUUAUACUUAAUAGUUGAUUUUUAUUUAUUAAAAAGAAGAAAAAUUUGUAAAUU